AGGAGUCGCUAGGGGAGCGAUUCCGCUGAGACCUUUGGGACCCUUUGAACCUGUGAGUUAAUGCUCGCGUAGGGAAGCAAGACCGUGUUUAC
rnacentral:ncRNA from 1 species